AGCCGUGUGGUAAGCACAGAGCGAAUUAUUCUUUCGCCUUUUACUAAAGAAUACCGUGUGCUUGCCACUUAUAAACGGCAUACGCCAAUUUUUGGAGGGUCUCUUUCCAUUGAGACCC